rnacentral:rRNA from 1 species
UACGGAGGGUGCAAGCGUUAUCCGGAUUUACUGGGUUUAAAGGGUGCGUAGGUGGUGGGGUAAGUCGGAUGUGAAAUCCCGGGGCUCAACCCCGGAACUGCAUUCGAUACUGCCUUGCUCGAGUACUGGAGAGGAGACUGGAAUUUACGGUGUAGCAGUGAAAUGCGUAGAUAUCGUAAGGAAGACCAGUGGCGAAGGCGAGUCUCUGGACAGUUACUGACACUGAGGCACGAAGGCCAGGGGAGCAAACGGG